rnacentral:lncRNA from 1 species
UUGGAGCUCUAGCUCACCUCUCUGGUGUUGUUCUUGUAUUCAUCUGAUUAAUCUAGUUCUUGCCAUUUCUUCUUGAACUUCUUCGUAGAUAUCAAGUCUGUAUUCUAUGUCCGUGACAGUUUGUCGAGACUGCACUCACCUUAGAUAUCAGAGUUAGUUUCUUCUUUGUUAGAGUGUGGAAUACCCCUUUGCUUGAAAGUGUACUAGCACUUUAGAGGUUGCGGAUUACCCUCCUCUAAACUGAUACUUAUUUUGUUACAAU